UGAAAUUGACAUUGCAUAAAAUAUAGAAAUCAACGACAACGGAAGCCCGCAAUGAACGGUGUUUUUUAAAUCUUUUGCUGACGACAACUUCCAAAUCUACAUAAGACCAGGAUUUUUUAAGGGAACAAGAAAUCUUCAUAGGGAUACAUAGAUUGAACAUUUUCUAAAUGGAUCCACAGAACUCUGUGUCUCACCUGCAGUUGCUGCUGUUAGUGUAAAAGUGUGAUGUUGACUAUAAAAAUUUCAGCAACAGAAUGAAGAAUUCCAAGAGUCUAAUACGGUUUAUUAAACAGGAUUUUAUCAUUGAAUCAACAUCCUACAAGAAUAUUACACACAAAUAAGUAAUUUUGUGCAGGGAAGAACAUUUAAACAAAACUGUAAGAGACAUACAGUGGUGGUGUAUUUUUAAAGAGACCGAAAGAACCUAUAAUAACUUGCCAUGAGCGUAUGUUUUCCAAACCAGAAGCUCGUUCAUAAUAAUAUACAAUUUAAAUUAAAAUUAUUGUAUGAACAUUACAUUGUACAGAUAAAGUCUCAAAAGAGGAAAUUUAGUUUUAAAUGAAACAUUUAAGUACAAAACAUUGAAAUAGUCCUUUCCAUGUUCUGUGACAUGUAGACAUUUUAUGCUUUCACCAUUCAUGUAGCUUCAUAUAGAG